rnacentral:rRNA from 1 species
AGCUCUACAUGCGAAGAUAACUUUGUUGCGGUUGAAAAGCUCGUAGUUGAAUCGAGGACAAGCGGCAAGAGGUUCUACACAAAGAGUGCUGUACACUUGGUCGGUUGUCUGCCGGAAAGUUGGUCUUUCUGAGUUGUUGGUCUGCGCGUCCAUACUCUUCACUGAGUAUCACAUUGCCUUCCAACAAGUUUACUUUGAGUAAAUGAGAGAUCAAAGCAGCAAAGAGCAUGAGAAAAUAGAACAGGAAUGUGGUUCUAUUGUGUUUUUGAUUUUGAUUUGACGUGAAUAGAAACAAAGUAUUGAUGAAGAGAGUCAGUUGUGGUCAUUUGUAUUAGCGAGUCAGAGGUGAAAUUUAUAGAUUUUUUGGUAAAGACGAACAAGUGCGAAAGAUAUUUGUAAA